rnacentral:lncRNA from 12 species
UUGUUAAAUCCACUUGCCAGCCAAUUAAAUCAUAAGAAUAUAAUUUACUUUUUCUAUAAAAACCUCAUAAUGGUUUAUUUUGAAUUAUAAAGAUUGUGAAAUGUCAUAAUUUGUUAUGGAUGGUUAUGAAAGCACAUUUUUUUUCAUAUUUUUUAAAGAUUUAUUUAUUUGUUUGUUUGUUUGUUUCAGAGAGAGAGAGCAUGAGUGGGGAAGGAGCAGAGGGAGAAGAAAGAGAGUCUCAAGCAGACUACCUGCUCAGCAUGGAGCUGAAAGUAAAAGCACCAUCAGCCAAGUGAACCACCCAGUCAUUUCUAAUGAGGAACCUGAAGAAAAAUGAGAACAAUGCAUGAGCUGAGAAUCAGUAAGUUUCAUUUCAUCCACACCUCAUUAACUCUUGGUGAAGCUUAAAAAAUUCCUGCAGUUCUAAAAGAAAAUAACUUUCUUUCACUUCUAACCCCAUAAGAAUAGCACAAAUAGGAAAAAAGAAUUUGUACCAAACUAUGCAAAGUCUUUGAGAGAUUAAUAUUUAUGGCUACAAUAAUAUUAGGAUCAUAAUGGAAAUUAUUAAGAAUAAUAAGACACUUAAUAAUUUAUAGUUUUUGUGGUAAGGAAAGGAAGGUAAACUUUUGGAACUAUAGAUAUUAUUUCCAAUGGUGCAAACUUUUUUUGAUGUAAAUAUUUCUUUCAUUUCUAUAAGAACUCAAGUUAGUGUCAACAAAACAACAGAGUUGGCAGCAGUUAAGAUUUUAUAAAUCUAUAAAAAUAGAUUUUAUAUGGGAGUAUUAUGAAACAGGAAAAGAGAUCUCAGUGUAGAAUGGGGCUCAUCUCUGAAUACAACAUGAGCACUUGGGAAUUUAUAACCAAGGAUCAGGAUGGGGGUUAGUGAAUGAAAAAUUAUAAGAGUUAGAACACAAGAAGUAGGGGCAAUUCUGGUCAAACUCAUCUAACAAGAUUCUUGCCAAAGAAAGGCCAGGAUGAUCAGACAUUACUGGGGGACUGAUGGGAGAUGAGGAUCAUGAUUAGAUAUUGAAAAUGACCAGAUAGGGAGAAUGGGAGGUUUUGCUAAACCAUUUUAGCAGGGAUCUUGCUGAAACUAUGCACUGUUGGAUAUGAAGUACACAGAUGAGCCUAGAAGGUUUAGGAGCAUGACCAAAGUUGGCCAAGCAAACCCUCUUUAUCAUUAGAAACUCAAUUACUGAGGAGAUUUUCUAUACCAAGAAAUGUAGCUAAAAUGACACUGAUGGGAUUGUCCCCACUUUUUAGGAAUGUUUCACUAAGAAUGCUAUCUCUACCUCACACCUUCAUUUCCUCUUUUUUAUAGUGGUGGCAAUAGAAGAAAACAUAUAUUUACAAAAAAUAUGAUAUUAUGGUCAAAAACAUAAGGGACAUGGGAUGGGCUGAAGCUGUCUUUCUGGAUGCAAUCCUUCUUGAAAACCACACUUUGGGUUUGCAUCAAAAUUAUGACCUGAGAUGGUAGCCAAGGCAAAAAUGUGUUCAGACAGAGGCAGAUGGCCAACUUGGGAAGGCCUUUGUCUGAGGAUUGCCUAAAGGGCUCAGAGUUACUGGCUCACUGAGUAGGUACAUUGGAUGAACUUUAAACCACCCUCCAGUCAGCAUGUAACAUGAUUUUAGUAUUUCAAGUUGACUUCUGAUAGAUCUAGCACUAUCUGGUUGCCAGGCUUCAUUUAACUAAGAUCACAGAGAUUUUCAUUAAUAUCUCACAUGCUGAUAUUCAUAAUCUCUGUGCACAAUUUUCAUGAAAUAAUUACUCACAAAGUACAUGCUGAUGCUUUAGUACAAUUGUGUCUUCCGUUUUUCAUGUGGUCAAUGAUAGCACUGCAGCCCCCACCGUAGAUGGAAAAUGUUGACAAAUGUUUUGAGCAAGUUCACUUCCAUUAUCAAUCUUGAGUAACCAAAACAAUUCAGUUUUUCAUUAGGUAUAAACCUCAGUUUAUUGCUGCUGAAAGGGUAUUUGUUGCGAAAUAAUGAUGUUUAUCCCCAUGUGAUGAAUAAAGAAUAAAAAAAUUUUGCA